rnacentral:lncRNA from 1 species
AACCACAAUGGGAACUCUUAUUUAGGAAUUUUUAAAAAUGUUUAUAACUUUAACUUAAACUUGAAUAAUCACCAGUGGCUAGUGGCUAUCACAUUAGAUAGGGCAGCUCUUCAGGAAAUGUUGAAUGACUCUUUCGGGUUUGCUAACCGCUGAACCACAAUGGGAACUCUUAUUUAGGAAUUUUUAAAAAUGUUUAUAACUUUAACUUAAACUUGAAUAAUCACCAGUGGCUAGUGGCUAUCACAUUAGAUAGGGCAGCUCUUCAGGAAAUGUUGAAUGACUCUUGUAAGACAAUUAGAAGUUUCUCCAGAUUGGUGGUAGAUAAAUCAAAGAUACCUGCAGGGGGACAGUGGCAAAAACAUCCUCAACUACCUGUCCUUCCACUUUACAGAUUUAUCCACACCUGUACCAGCCUCUUCCUCCUGCCAUUCCUUCUCAGUGGGAAAGAAAUCUUCUCUUGCCUAAAGCUGACCCUUCCACUUUUACUUUGGAUUCCAUUCCUUCCCAUGUGCCAAUUUAAGAACCUCCUCUCUCAUUUAUCAUUAUCAAGUUUUCGGUCUCCACUGGAUCUUUCCCUUUUAGCAUAUAAACAUGUUCCCUCUCCUAUAUUCAAAACGAACCUUUCCUCAACCCUAUUAUGACCCUCUUGCUGUGAUCCAUCUUGCUCAAGCCCAACCAGAUCUCUUGAAACAGAGUUACUUUUGUCACUUCUGGUCUGUUGACUAAUUCCAGCUAUACCUGGCUGGAAUAGAGGUGGCGGAAAUCAGAAGAGGUGACCAAGGGGUGCAUGAACUUGACGGAAAUGUUUGAUACAAGUGUGCUGGAUAGAAGAACAUUUAUUGGAUGUUUACACUUUUUGUACAUACUAAGUAGUAUUUGAUGAAUUGUUUAAAUUCCUAAGGAAAGAUCUUUUUAUGCAAAGACCAUCUAACACUGUUCUUAGCACUGUCGUUCCUCACCCAAAGCCACCCUGUAAUCAUGUUACAGACCAAAACGCCACUAGAACAGAAAGGGUCACCAGCCAAAGGAAAUCUUAUCCUCAAGUGGUAUCUGAUAGAACAAAACUUCAGAACAAGGAAAGAUUUGGGAAUCCACCAGGAUUGGUCUCCGAUGCUUUAACGGGACCCUUGGAGCAUUCCUUUCUGGAGUGCCUUUGUUUUAUGUGCAUUACAUAACUGCCCUCGUCUGACCCGUGUCUGAAAGGGGAAAGCAGCUUUGGCACCUGCAGCCAUUUCCUAAGAGGGCUCCAAAGCCCGCCCCGAAAAUAAUCCACCACUGUGAGGUGGACACCUGAGCUAUGCUGAGGCUCAGACAGAGACCAAAGGUGAUGAUCUCUGCAAUCACAGCACCUUUCUUCUCUACUCAACCCCCUGGGGACUCAGGGCUGCCAACAGGACAGUGACAAGUGUUCAAUUCGAGCACAACCUAAAAGGCCCCUUUAUGAACAAUUCAUGUAAGAUGCUGCCAAGUCAACACCCUUAGAACCAGGUUCACUCAGCUUUCUGAACUGCUUUCACUGGGUAGGUCUUGUGCUUUAGCACAAAGAAAGGGAGGACAUGAAACUAUCUGCAGUAGCACACAGUUUCAAAAAAAUAUGAAAGUCAGCACACCUGGAAGGCAGUGAGACAUCAAAUGACAGCUCUCAUGGCUGGCUCUGGCUCUCCCAGCGUGAUGUCACAUGGCAGGUCUACCCCAAUGCACUUCAUAGGCAUCACUGAGCUGGUGUUCUCAGCAGCUACACACCUGCUUCUGGCUGAGGGCUGGCAAGUGUGGUCAGGACUAGUAAGCAACAACAAAAGAAAAGGAUUCCUAGGAUCCCUGCUUGUGCAUGGCCUUUUUUUCUGACCCUCUACUGAGCACAGCGACUGAGAUUUUUUACAGACCACAGUCAAAAACUUUUUAGGAGAAGCCCUCACUUGGGCAAAGCAGAAGGUUUGUGAAAAAGCAUUUCUCCAUUUACUGAAUGCAGAAAAAUGGCAUUGAACUAAAGGCUUCAAUACCUAAUGCAAGGCUUAAAAGCUGAAGUACUGAUUGGGGCUUACCAGCACUGAGAAAACACCCCUAAAAGACCUCAGGAGGAGGUGGCCCCACCUGUUUCACUAGUUUAAAGCUAUUCCAUCCUUUUUUGGGGGGUGGGGGGGUGCGUUGCACUUGCAGCAUAUGGAAGUUACCAGGCUAGGAGCUGAACUGGAGUUGCAUCUUCUGGCCUAUACCACAGCCAUGUGGGAUCUGAGCCACAUCUGUGACCUACACCACAGUUUACAGCAACAUUGGAUCCUUAACAUACUGGGCAAGGCCAGGGAUUGAACCCAAAUCCUCAUGGAUACCAGUGGGGUUCAUUACUGCUGAUCCACAAUGGGAACUCCCCAUCCUCUCACACUUCUGAGCCCUGAGACCAUGGGGACUGUCUGUCCAUGAUUAUCCACACUCUGGACCAGUAGAUUCCCCUCCUCAGAGGUCCUGGAAUUCAGGGUUGAAGCAGGGCAGGUUUGAAAGAUGGCUUUUUGUUGUUAUUGUUUUAAAUUAUUAAAGUAUAGUUGAUUUACAACGUCGGGCCAAUUUCUGCUGUACAGCAAAGUGACCCAAACAUCUGUAUACAUACAUACCUUUAUCAUAUUUCAUCGUGGUCUAUCCCAAGAGACUGGAUCUAGUUCCCUGUGCUGUAUACCAGGACCUCAUCACUUAUUCUUUCUAAAUAUAAUAUUCUUAGUCACAAGUCUGUGCCCAUCUUUGAAUGGGUCAAUAGUGAUUGGGGCAAAUCAAGAUCUUAAUCCUCUGGUAGAAGCACUGGUUCUUCAUGGCUCCCAACCCUCCCCUUCCAGCCAGCAAAGUGAUGGCUGCUUAGGACGACAUGCUCUGGAGAGGACCCCAACCUCCGGCCAUCUUCAGGGCAGAACAGCAAGAGCAACUCCAGGGCUGUAAGUGAGAGGCACGGUGCCACCCAGCUGCCCUCCGGGGUGCUCAGAGGAUGGGAGCAUCUGGGCAGAGCUGCUGCCAAUUCCCUUCUUCCCUGGAAGGUAGAAACUUUCCGGACAGCUGGCUUCACCCAAACAAUGAAUGUUUAUGGGGCUUUAUUAUUUGCCAGGCACUGGGUUGAAACGCUGCACAAACUGAGACUUGGACAGCCUAAGUAAGUUUGCCAAGUUCAUGUGGUCAGGAAAUAAGCAAUGGAGCCAAGAUGAGACCCGCGGUAUCCUGAAGCCUAUGUGUAUGCUGUGCUAGGGGAACCACCUGAGGUAGAUGGCUCCUAAAACGGGGGUCAGCUUUUCCUCUUUCAUUCUUUUUUUUAAACAUAUCUACGAGAUGGCUGGCUGGAACCAAAAUGUGGGGAAGAGAAAGAAGUCCUGCUCUGGUGAAGGAGAUGAGACUUAAAGAAUUAGAGACCAUGACGAAAGGGUAUAUAAUCAAGGGCUAAAUUGCAGGGUAUGGACUUUAAACCCUAAAGGAACUCAGAGAAGACAGACCUCAAGGAAACUCCCUGAUCUGGGGCUUGAGAUGGGGAUGAGGGGCACGGAAGGUCAAAGAUAUGCACUUAAGGGGCCAGGACAGCAGGGGAGCCAGGAGGCAUGUGUGGGCCCGCACGUGUGUGAGGACAGCUACACAGCCAGAUAGUAGGGCACAGGGAUCCUCUGUCACCAUUUAAGCAAUGUCAAAAUGGGAAGUUCCCGUUGUGGCUCAGCAGGUAACAAACCCGACUAGCAUCCAUGAGGACGCGGGAUUGAUCCCUGGCCUUGCUCAGUGAGUUAAGGAUCCGGUGUUGCUGUGAGGUGUGGUGUAGUUCUUAGAUGCGUUUUGGAUCCCGCAUUGCUGUGGCACGUAGGCCGGCAGCUACAGCUCCGAUUGGACCCCUAGCCUGGGAAGCUCCAUAUGCCGCAAGUACGGCCCUAAAACCACCAAAAAAAAAAAAAAAAAAAGUCAAAAUGUAAACUGUAGUAAAGUGUAUUUUCUGUCAGUGUGUCUUAUACUUUUGAGGGCUUUCUCAGAAGAGUCAAAUUACCUUUGAACUUUUAUAUUAAUGUUUAAAAUAUUCAAUGUAUUAAGAGUUUACAAAUCCAAAUCCUUCAAGGAGUUCAAUGUACAAAUCCAUAUGAGCACAUUUCCACAUUUUUAAGGGAGACUUGACAAAUUAUACUAAAUGUUUUAAACUGCAUUCAGAAAUUUUAAACGAUCUAUUCGCCUUAGAGUACUUCAACACCUAACCACUUAGCUCUCAGAAUUUUGAAGUAUCAUUAUGGUUGGUUCUCAAGGUCUCAUUGUUCCCAUACUUGUAAACAUUAAGUCCAAACCUCUUACUCAAUUACCUAUUUUAAAUUUAAACUCAAGGAUGUUUCUCACGGGCAACAUUUUUAUUAAUUGUAAGUGUUAAUAUUUAAAAUAACAGAUGUACACAGAUUAGUCUUUAACCAAAAAAAUGUUUGAUUUAGUUUAUUUUUCUUAACUUAGUUUUCACUUAAAAUUUCAAACACACUUAAUCCACUAAAGAAACAAUCAUGCUUUCCCGAAUAAUGUGGGUUGCCUUCCUCAACUAAGUGAAUUUUAGGGGAUUUUUUUUAAUUGGCUGGGCCUGCACAUUGACCAGAUAUGGAGCAGCAGGCAGCCAGGGUGAGUUUUUCGAUACCCUUCGUUAUGAUUAUGUCAACACAAUCCAGAAUAAAAAUGGUCUUGGCCCUAGCACUUCCACACAGGUGACUAAUUUCUCAAUCCUGAGGAGUCUGAACACAGGAAUUGUAGCUAGCCUCCUUUGAGCUUUGCUGGAGUUUCAUCUCUCUGGCUCUUAAAUCCAUCUCUCUCAAGGCUUUGGUGACCUCUGGUUACAGUGCUAAAGCUAAGCAGUCUCCCAACUACGAUUUGGAAUAAAAUGGGGUGAGAGUGUCCCAUCUACAUAUGCCUCAGGAUUAACUUCAGGUCAAAUGUUAAAAUGUGAGAAAGAACAUGUCCCAAUCACAACUCUACGCUCCUCUAUGCCUCCAUCUCAAAGCCAAGUGCAUUCCAGAUCUUAGUCAAUGACACAUGCAGAUGUCCAAGCCAGAGACUCACAUCUUCUGUGAUUCCUUCCUUGCCUCCCACCCCAACCAGUUACAAACGCUGAACAACCACGAGUCCAAUUUCCUUUGCCCUUCUCCACUUGCCCUAUGACAGAGACCAGAACCUUAUCAUGUCCUGAUUGGAAGACACUCACAGCUCGGCAUCCUACCCAGUCCCCCCGUACACAUCCUCCCCUGCAAGGUAACCUCUGGACCACGUGAUUCUGAUGCUAUCAACCCCAGAGCUGGAACAGUUUCCUAUGAUCCACAGAGUCAGCCCUUA